rnacentral:rRNA from 1 species
UACAGAGGUCUCAAGCGUUGUUCGGAUUCAUUGGGCGUAAAGGGUGCGUAGGUGGCGCCGUAAGUCGGGUGUGAAAUUUCGGAGCUUAACUCCGAAACUGCAUUCGAUACUGCGGUGCUUGAGGACUGGAGAGGAGACUGGAAUUCAUGGUGUAGCAGUGAAAUGCGUAGAGAUCAUGAGGAAGACCGUGGCGAAGGCGGGUCUCUGGACAGUUCCUGACACUGAGGCACGAAGGCCAGGGGAGCAAACGGG